rnacentral:tRNA from 1 species
GGGCGCUUGGUCUAGAGGUAGGACGUCUCUUUCGCAAAGUGAAGAUCUCGGGUUCAAUCCCCGAAGUGUCCA